UACGUAGGGGGCAAGCGUUGUCCGGAAUCAUUGGGCGUAAAGAGCGUGUAGGCGGCCCGGUAAGUCCGCUGUAAAAGUCAAAGGCUUAACCUUUGAAUGUCAGUGGAUACUGCCGGGCUAGAGUCCGGAAGAGGCGAGUGGAACUCCUGGUGUAGCGGUGGAAUGCGCAGAUAUCAGGAAGAACACCAACGGCGAAGGCAGCUCGCUAGGACGGUACUGACGCUGAGGCGCGAAAGCGUGGGGAGCAAACAGG
rnacentral:rRNA from 1 species